rfam:Termitomyces sp. J132 unplaced genomic scaffold scaffold111, whole genome shotgun sequence.
GACUGUGUAGCUCAGUGGUUAGAGCAUCAUAUGGAGUACAUAUCCAAGAGGUCCCAGGUUCAAUUCCUGGUAUGGUCA